ensembl:lncRNA
GGUCGGUGCUUCCCCUCUUCGCUGUCGCUCGUCUGGUGCACUUCCUCUAAGUACGUCGGCACACUUCUGCAUUUCUGUGUGUAUGUGUCUGCAGUGUAUGCUACGUACGUGUCAUGACCUCUCACUAUUUGUCUGUCUGUGCGUGCAGAGUUUGCAUCUGCUUUUCUGAUCCUUAGUUGACCUCAACUUAAGCAACCAACCAGGCUAAGGCCAUCCUGUGUGUAAUGAUCUUGACUUAUAUGUGAAAUAUAUAAACAACUGUUUCAAUCUACCACAACUGCUUAAGGCUUAAAUGUUCUAUCGGUCUUCAUCAGGCGAUUGACUGUCCUUUGAACUUCUUCUCUGCUUCAGGGACAAAGUGAGAGAUCCAGCCGCCCAAUUUCGAGCCAAAAACUGGCUUAUUCUCCCAAUUCUUUUAAUCUACUUUUCUGCUGCUGAACUCAAGGUUGCAAAGUUGAAAGACGCCCACCUGUAUUGACCAUAUAAUUAGUAUUAUAUUCAUUUUUUUCUUAAAGGCUUCAUUUGCUCCCAUUUCCUCGUCUGUCUCUCUGUGUUCUUUCUGCACACACUCAGUUCCCAUAUAUGGGCAUGCACAGUUCCUGUUCACUAUUUCCUGUUGCUGCAGCCCCGAUACACAGAGCAAUAUUUCCUGUUCCUCAAACUAAUCUAACUCCUUUGUUUUUGUUUUCUUGAAUUAAAAACACUUUCAAACUUUAGCACAUCCUACUUUUCAUCACCCAAGAAAUAUAUUUCACACUCCUUUAUUCCAUACACACCUUUAAAAGUUCUCACCUCUUUCAGACGCCAUAAAUCGUCUCACACGCACUGCCUUUCUCUCACUCAGAGAACUCACGCAGAGUCACUCAAAUCAAAUACUGACAGCACUCACACAGUUAAAAUCACUCGAAAUACGCUUUCAUACGAGUAUUUUGGACAUGCCUUCCAUGAUCAGAAAGAGCAAGUCAAAAGAAAAGAAAAAGAAAACUGAAACCUCUCAUCAUCCUCACGGCUUCUCCCCACACACAUAACUGAAAAUGAACACACCAACAUUUAUGGCUCACGAACUAUACAUCUAUCAAAAUUCAGUCAUUUACUAUGCAUCCACACUAAUAUAUUCACACUGUAUUUACACUCUCAUAAUAAGCAAAACCAACCUCUUAUAUACAGGCAUUUAGCAAAAAGCUCAGUCCUCUCGAAAACUGAAACCACCCUCUUUGCGCGUCACUGCUGCUCAUUUGCAUUUACACACACAAUCAGUGCACAUCCGGCUGUGCAUCACUAACACAGAGACUGAUCCUACUCAUAGAUCUCAUAUUUUAUAUUACAGACGUCUUAAAUUACAACUGCACAGAUUUUUUUUAGGCCUUUUCAACUCCUAUGUAAUUUCGAUAAUAGAACAUAACGGCUCCAACCGAUCAGUCCCAGACUUUUUGUGCUCAAUUCACCAGGGCGGUCCCAGACUGUCCUGUCCAGAUCUCUAAACCUAACUUAAUUUGCCAGCAUACCCAAUAAGCGCAAAAAAUAGGAGACUCUAACUCCUAGCAAUUUCAGAGGUUCCCAAGUUCUCUCCGCUGUCGACGGUACUAUCCCUACUGUCCAGUA